rnacentral:rRNA from 1 species
GACGAACGCUGGCGGCGUGCUUAACACAUGCAAGUCGAACGGAAAGGCCCUGCUUUUGUGGGGUGCUCGAGUGGCGAACGGGUGAGUAACACGUGAGUAACCUGCCCUUGACUUUGGGAUAACUUCAGGAAACUGGGGCUAAUACCGGAUAGGAGCUCCUGCUGCAUGGUGGGGGUUGGAAAGUUUCGGCGUUUGGGGAUGGACUCGCGGCUUAUCAGCUUGUUGGUGGGGUAGUGGCUUACCAAGGCUUUGACGGGUAGCCGGCCUGGGAGGGUGACCGGGCACAUUGGGACUGAGGUACGGCCCAGACGCCUACGGGAGGCAGCAGUGGGGAGUAUUGCACAAUGGGCGGAAGCCUGAUGCAGCAACGCCGCGUGCGGGAUGACGGCCUUCGGGUUGUAAACCGCUUUCGCCUGUGACGAAGCGUGAGUGACGGUAAUGGGUAAAGAAGCACCGGCUAACUACGUG